GGUUGUGUAGCUCAGUGGUUAGAGCAUCAGUCCUAGAAUGUCUCGGGGUCUUGGGUUAAAUCCCUAAUAUGGCCC